CGUCUAUCAUUUCGAGGUCUGCGACUGCUAAAACGGUCGGAGUAUCGUCCUCUACCUCUUCCACCUCGAGACCGAGCCCGGGCAUGUUCAAUCGUCACCCUUUCACUGCAAAGUUCCUUCCCAUCAAGUUCAUAAACAGCAUCAUCUGCAUCCCUUGGGUCCUCAAAUUCCACAAAACCAAAACCUCUUUUCAAGUCAAUAUCUCGGAUCCGUCCGUAACCCUUGAAGAAUCUUUCCACAUCUUUCUCCCUCGCUGCUGGAUUUAGUCUCCCAAUGAACACUCGACAGCCACUCAUGAUGCCCGGCUAGUGUUUCCUACCGGACAGGGUCUUUGGCGGCUGAGACCCCGGAGAGGUCCGUAGUCUGCGACGGAGCUGUCUGCCUCCCUACACAAACACACACACAACACACAUACACACGAACCCAACUCGUCU
rnacentral:lncRNA from 1 species